rnacentral:rRNA from 1 species
UACAUAGGGGGCAAGCGUUAUCCGGAAUUAUUGGGCGUAAAGGGUGCGUAGGUGGCCCGUUAAGUCUUUGGUGUAAGUGCAGCGCUCAACGCUGUGAUGCUAAAGAAACUGGCGGGCUUGAGUGUGGUAGAGGCAAGUGGAAUUCCAUGUGUAGCGGUAAAAUGCGUAAAUAUAUGGAGGAACACCGGUGGCGAAGGCGGCUUGCUGGGCCACAACUGACACUGAGGCACGAAAGCGUGGGGAGCAAACA